rnacentral:rRNA from 1 species
UACGAAGGGUGCAAACGUUGCUCGGAAUCAUUGGGCGUAAAGCGCGCGUAGGCGGUUUAUCAAGUCGGAUGUGAAAUCCUUAGGCUCAACCAAAGAAGUGCAUUCGAAACUGAUAAACUUGAGUAUGGAAGAGGGUCGUGGAAUUCCCGGUGUAGAGGUGAAAUUCGUAGAGAUCGGGAGGAACAUCUGUGGCGAAGGCGACGACCUGGGCCAAUACUGACGCUGAGGUGCGAAAGCGUGGGGAGCAAACAGG